UUGAACUAAGUUUUAUGGUCCCUUUUCUUUUUGGAUGAAAAUGUAAUACCUAUUUUAAGUAAAAAGUAGGAGCAUUCUCAAGUUUAUCCAAACUCAUGUUACAAGUGAAAAAUGUGUGCCUUUUUUCCAUGGAAAAUAUUCUUGAUGGUAAAUUUGGCCAAUGUCUUGUCACUCCCUCUUUUAAGCAUGUUGAUUCUGCCAGCAUGUUCUUCUCAAUUUGGAUUUCCUUUUUCUUUCUUUUUAUUGAACUUCACCUUCUAACAUCCACAUCCUAUGCCAGGACCAACACUAAUGCAACACAAUGUGGUCAAUCAUCUUUUGCCUAACAUUUGAAGCAAAUUACAUUGAAAUAACAUGCACAACAAAGGCUUAAACAUCCACAAGUGAAAUCCAUCUAUUCCAUAUGAUUUAUUUUUUGUUAGUGGUUUAAAAAAGAAUGACACAUUUUUGUAUUUGGUAACAAUUUAACUUAAAAAAUAUUUAUUUUACCUUUACACCUUGUUUGGAUGGUUGUUACCCGUUGUAUUAUAUUGUAUUGUUAGUUUAGAUAUAAUGUUUGUUUUGGUUGUUACUUAAAUUCUAUCGUUUACAUCCAUCAUUAUGUAACGACGAAAAGACGAUUUGGUGUGAUCGCGUCGUUGUCUUAAUAUUUUAUUCUCAAUUAUCUUUAUUUAUUAUUUAAUAAUCAUAUUUCAUCUUUUAUCCUACAUUUUCAUAAUAGUUCUACCCGUCCCGUACCCUACUUAUCUUGUAGGUUUCUCACUCAAAUUAUGGAUGUGUGACAUACUGACAUUAUGUAACGACGAAGAACGAUACAAUCUAUCCAAACAAUGUAUUCAUUAAAGCAAUACUAUACGAUACAAUACAACAUAAUACGAUACAUUAUGAAACAAUAUGUAACAACCAUCCAAACUAAGUAUUAAUGAAAUGAUUUAUAGUAACACAUUCCUUAAUUUAUUUUGAGGUACAAGUUUUAUAAGUUUUUCUUUCAUAAAUUUCGUGUCAAAUCAAACCAUAUCACAUAAAUUAAGUGUAGCGAAUAUGAUUUAGAGGAGCACAUACUCUUUCCAAAGUUAGGCGUUUGACCAAAGUAUUUGAGAGCCUAAUUUCAAGUUUUGAUUUCAAUCAACAUUGUUAAAGUUGUAUAAAAUUUCAGUUUCUAACUUUAAAUCAUGAUUUCAAAUCUCAAAUUCUCUAAAAUAGGAUUUGUAAUUUCAAAUUAUGAUCUCAAUUUUUCUUAAAUAUAAAACUUGACUCACAAAUUUAUAUUUUAUAUAAAAAAAAACCCCCAUAAUUUUAAAUUUUAUAAAAAAAAAGAGACUCAUGUUUGACAUAGUGUACUAUGUGAGAGGAUUUAUCAAAGAAUAACUACUAUUCUUGAUUUAGUUUACCAGUAAAUCUUUGUAAAAUGAUGUGUAUUUAAAAGUUUGAAUAACAUGUAAUCACAAAAACAUAUUAAUAAAAGGAAAUGUAAUUUUAAUUUAUUAAUUCGGCAUGUUAGGAUAUCUCGGUACCUUAAUUUUGAACUAUGAUUUGCUCACUUAAUAAAAUUGUAUAAGAGUUGGAGAAGCUCAUCAAUUAUGAGGUUUUCAUGUUAUAUAUAUAACUUAAAAAGUCUAAAUUAUAUGUCCAAACAAAAUUUCAAUCUCAGAUUAACUUGAUUUCCUUGAAAAAUCUUUUUUUUUCCUUCUUCCAGAACAAGUGAAAAAUUUGAUGUUUGGCACUUGGUUUGGCAUCUUUCACAGAGAAGGCAACUGAUAGGGUGGGCAAAGAGUUUACUUUAUACUCUUUCUUCUCCCAUUGAAACAAUGGGUCCCAUAUCUAUCUUCAAGUGGAUUACUUAUGAUUAAUUAAGGAACACUUGUUGUCCAUUAACUUUUAUGGCUAAACUUUAUUUUGUUUUCCUAACACUUCUAACUAUAAAUCAAGAAUUAAAAUUUCCUUGGCUGAAUAUUUGUUGAUAUAUACUGUCCAUUCCUUAACCAUUUUAAAGAGUAUCAAGAUUGAAUUUAUAUAUAUUUUUCAUAUGUCAUUUGAACUUAUAGUUGAUUUUAAUUUAAAUAUGGCCUAUAAUUAAACUGUAACGGUCUGUUAAGUCAUUUAUUAUAGUAAAGAGUCGCAUCAUAUGCAUUGCAUCAUGACUAUUAUUUGGGCAUAUGUCACUUGUUGAAUUUGUGCAUGACAUCUAUAUAUGUUGAUUUGCACUCCUUCUCUUAUUUUUAAUAUGUUUUCGUCGCGGUUUUCUUUUUCUUUGUAUAUGAAAUUGAUGUAUUGGAUAGAGAGUCUUUUAAAAACGACUUCUAUACCUCCAUGAGAUAGUGAUAAGAUCUGCAUACACUUUAUUCUUCUCAAGUCUUAAGAAAAUUUGAAUCAUGAAUAUGAGUUUUUUAUACUCAAGAAUAUGUGGUUUUUUCACAAAAUCUCAAAGGAAAUAAAAAGAAGGUAUCUCCAAAAUUAUGAUUAUUAUAAAAGAAGAUGAUAGAAUUAGAACUUUUAUGGAAAACAAAUAUAGAAGAAAGAGAUUUAAAUUUUUUUAGAUAAAAAUCCACUUUACGUACCUUAAUCUACAGAGAAUACAGAGAAACUGACGAGGAUAGAUAAGAAGUCAUCAUUUAUUAAAAAAAAUAAAAAAGUAAAGAGAAAGAAAAAUAAAUAACAAAAUAAAAAGAAAUUUAAUUUUGUGACUAGCCGCUAGGGGUGUACAUGACCGGGUUGGUUUGGAUUUUUCAAAUAUCAAAACCAAAACCAUUUUGUGUAAAAUUUUUUAAAUUUAUAAACCAAACCAAACUAAUAAAAUUUGGAUUUUUUCGGGGUUUUUCAACCUCGGGGUUGGUUCGGGUUUUUCAAAAUACCAAAUCAAACCAUUGUGUCGAAUUUUUAAUUUAUAAAUCAAACCAAACUAAUAAACCUCGAAUUUUUUCAGAUUUUUGGAUUUUUUCGGUAAAGUUUGCGUACAAACAUAUAAUUAACUUGUGCUCCAAAUAUUUCUUUAGUCCAACCAAAAUACAAUUAUAGAAGGUGUUUCUUAAAGAAUAACACAAAAUAUGAGAUGAGUAUUGAUGACACCAAAAUAUUCAAUAAAAAAUAAUAAUGAAAUCAUCAUAUAAAAUAAAUAUUGCAAAAGUCAUAAUGAAAAUGAUCAUAAUUUAAAAGUACUAAAUCAUGCUAAAAUAAGUUUAAUAAGUAUUAGUUACAUUACUAAAUAUUUAAGAAAAAUUAAAAUUAGAUUAUGUAUUUUAAUUGUCUAAACCAAUGUAAAACUAAAGAACAAAUAUUCAAUAUUAUUGCCAUUCUUAGUGUUGAAUUGAUUUUCUUUUUGCAUUAGUAUUAAUUUAAUUUGAUUUAAGUUUAUUAUUAUCAACAUCUAUGAACUAUAAUCUUUAUUGGAUCAUUCCGAAUUCUAAGUUUAAACUUGAAAUAUUAUAUUAAAAGAUAAAACUAUGAAAUAAUAUAAGAAAUAUUUAAAUUAUAUCAAAGUAAAUAUUUUUAUGUAUAAAAUAAAAUUUUAAAAUUACAUAUAUAAUGUCGGGUUGGUUUGGUCUUCGGGUUGAUUUUUUUAGUUAAAACCAAACUAACCCAAAUAUAGUCGGGCUUUUUUUUUCAAUACCAAACCACUAGUCGGAUCUUUUUUCGAUUUAACUCAAUUUGCGAUUUAAUUCGAUUUUCAGUUCGAUUUUGGACACCCCUACUAGCCGCUAUAAAGGUCACGUAAAUGAUUUAUUUUACCUUUCACANNNNNNNNNNNNNNNNNNNNNNNNNNNNNNNNNNNNNNNNNNNNNNNNNNNNNAGUGCUAACAAAUACUUUUGCCAUUUAUCAAGUCAGCUGAGUUUAACUCUUGAAAAUUAUAGUUAGAGGAUAAUGAAAUAAAACAUAAUUUAAAUAUAAAAGUUGCAAAAAAUAUAUACUAAGAAUAGCCAUUAUCUUUUAUAUUUAUAAUAUAUUCGAUCCAUUGCACAUUAAAUAACCUCAAAACUCCUUUUCCCUUGAGUAAGUGUAUUCAGACGAAUUUAACCUUUAAUUUUAUUUUAUUUUUAGCAUAAACUCAUUAUCCUUUAAUCGAACCAAACUGAUUAAAUAAAUCAAUUUUAUUUGGAUUUGAGUUUGAUUUGAUUUAGAUUUUUUAAAAUCGAUAAUAUUUUGUUUGGUUUUGAUUUUAUUAAAAAAAAUAAAGAAAUAACCGAACCAAACCAAACCAAACCAAACCAAUAAAUUAUAUACAUAUAUGUUUUUAUCAUACAUGCAUAAUAAAUUAUAUUUAUAAACAAUUUUAAAGUAUCUUAUACUCUAUGUUUUCAUCAAAAUUUAUUAUAAUUUAUUUAUGAAAGCAAAAACGUUCAAAAUGAGAACAUUUAUUUUAUUGAUUUUGUGUAUAUCUUUACUCCCGCGUUUAACAUUUUCUUAAAAUUUUGUUCUCCCUGCAGAGCCUUGCCCCAUCCUACCAUGUCAUGUUUGGUUUAUGUUUUUGGAUUUUUUUCUCCUUUGAUGAUCAAUUUGACUUUAUCAUGUCUUACCAGCCAUAUAAUAUAUUUUUCAUCCUUUUAGAAAUCAAAUAUGUAGUCUUUACCACCCCCCCCCCCCCCCCCNNNNNNNNNNNNNNNNNNNNNNNNNNNNNNNNNNNNNNNNNNNNNNNNNNNNNNNNNNNNNNNNNNNNNNNNNNNNNNNNNNNNNNNNNNNNNNNNNNNNNNNNNNNNNNNNNCUUUCCCCCCCCCCCCCCCUUACUCUUCCCUAUUGCCAUCUCUACAUUUGUGGCAUCAUUUUACCAUUUUGUAGUCUUUAGUAUCUACAAUGUAUAUGGAAUAACUUAUUUCAUCACUAUAAUAUAAAUGGUGGAAUAAAUAAUUUAAAAACUACCUAAUACUUCCAACCAAACGCAAGAUAAAAUAAUCCUACAUUUUAUCUUGAAAUUAUUUUACCUUAUAUACCUCAGACCAAGUGACUCCUUAGUCAUAGUUGAUGUAGUAAACCUAUUAUACUUUCGAACUCUUUGCGGUUUCCAUAUAUACUAAAUAAACAAGUUGAAUAUAAUUUAAGAACUUAAUCAUACACUAUCUCUGCGCUGAGUGGGGUGGUGGAAGCUCCAUGCAUACAAUUUUCCCAUUACUUCCUAAUCAAAUGAGAUAAGAAAAUUCUUUUCUUCUUUUCACUAUGAAAAGAAGCCCAGUGUCAUUUCAUUGAAUAUAACAUGGGAAAUUGAAAUAGGAGUCUAAAAAUGAUCAUGGUUACAUUACAUCAAGUAAAGUACCUUGUAGUCUCCAAGGAACAUGUUUAUCAAGUGCACAUGCGUUUCUACGGGUACAAAACUGAAGGAGAUGAAGUACAUUUAACAUUUUUUGGAAUAAUGUCUAAUCAAUUAAAAGUAAGCAACGGUAAUGAUGCCACUGUUAGAGAACUUUACUUAACUUGCACUCUAACUAUAAUUUUAGUUUUAUUUUUCUAAUUAAAAGGUCAUUAGGUAGAUUAUUUGUAAGCACUGUUUUAACUUUGAAGCACACAGAAAAUGCAGUACGAGAAAUGACUCAAAAAUGUCCUCUUUACACCUAUUGGAUUAGAUUUUUUAUUUAAGGACAUUUUUGAGCAAUUUUUAGUGUUUUAAGGGGCAUUUUAAAAUCAAAUAGUGGAAGAAGGGACAAAUCUGAUCAAAUACAAAUAGUAAACAAAAUAUCUAACAUUUUUUUAAAAAGUAUAAACAUCGCAGUAGUGUAAAGUAUUACUCCCUCUGUUUCAAUUUAUUUGUCCUUUUUUGACUUGAUACGAAGUUUAAGAAAAUAAAAAAAAAUACUUUUGAAUCUCAUGAUCUUAAAUUAAAGAUAUGCAAAUCUUGUAGCCUUCAACAUGUAAUGUAAAAAAUUAAAAUUAAAAAAUUGUCAAAAAAAAAAAGACAUUUUUUUUUAAACGGACUAAAAAAGACGAUAGGAUAAACAAAUUCAAAUGGAGAGUGUGCUAUAAAACUACACAUUUUAAAGAAUCCCAAUUUCUUAAAAAAGAUAUUACUAUCACACCACACAUAUUACCUUUUUAAAAGUAAAUAAUCAAUAAUCAUUAUCAGUUGAAAUUUAAAACAUAACUCUUCCGUGAAUAAAUACAAAAUUACUUUCAGAUUACAAAAUAAUAGAAGUGUGAUAAUUUUGAGAGAUUUAGAACUAAGACAUGAAGAUCAAUAAAAUUGAAGAGAUACACUUGACUUGUCUAGCUAUUUAGAAAGAUGUUCAAAUGAUACUCAUCCUCACAAUGUGCUCAAUUAGCAAGAAAGAAAUACUGACUCACUAUUUGAGUCAUUCACAUCUUCAUAUUCUAUUGAUGAAUUGAACAUCUAUUAUUCGUUUGUUAAAGAAUUUGAGGAUUAACAAUGCUAACUAGGGAAUUUGACUCAUGAUUUUGAUAGGAAUUGUUGAGGGAAUCCCGAGCACGUGUCUAGGACACACAAUCAGACGCUUAGAGUGUAAGCCUCACAAGGGACAUGUGAGUGUUAGGGCGUUUAGUGCCCCUCCCAGGGGCCGGACCCAAAAAAAAAAACCUUUUAAAACAGAGUUUGUAAGCAACAGAGAGAAACACGAAGUAGCAUUUGAAUGCAAAACUUCACAUACCCUUUUGCCAACUUUUGGAUUUCGUAAUUGGUAAAGAUUCCACAUUCUUAUUAUUUUUUUGGCGUAAAGCCCUAGUUGCCACUCUGUCUUGAGAAUCUAGCUAUAUUAUUGGAAAGCAACUUGAUACUACACCAGAAAUACUGUUGUUUUUUUUAGGCUUUUGUUUACAUCACAACAAGAAGAACAAAAUUUGAUUGGAACAUGAAGUGGGAAAUUCAUAGUUCAAAAAAGUAGUCUAAUACUUUGAGGAUACCAGUGAUAAUAUAAAAUAAUUUUUCCACUAUCAAUGUAAAAGUUUCAACGAUUUAAGUCAAACCUUUUGAUUAGGUAACAUGAUGUAGUCCAAUUUUACAAGACGUUUGGAUAUUCCUUUCAUGUGCAAGAAU
rnacentral:lncRNA from 1 species